CUUGCCCAACACAGAGAGGCAGCUGGGCAGAAAGAAGACCUGAAAUUGUUCGGAUCAUAGAAGCCCUAAUCUCAUUUUAUCCUGGCUCUGGAGGAGGAAGAGACUACAUAGGCUAAUAAGGUAGUUUCCUAAGCCUAUAUGUGGAUUAUACCAUCAAGCCACAUAAGAACCUGAAGAAGCACAUGCUGUUACUUUACACAGCUUUGCACAUGACUUUCCUGGGGCGGCAGAGCUCGGAAAUGAUGGGGUUGAAGUUCACAAGGACAUGAACCUAAGUAACACACAUGAUUUUGGGGUUAUCUUCUUCGAAGAGAGGAACUUCAGGAUGCCCUGCAUUUGCUCUUCAUCAGGCAGCUUUCGACCAAGACAUCUUGGAUUCUCAAGUGGUCCUGAGGUCCUAGUGUCCC
rnacentral:lncRNA from 1 species